AACACGAAAAUGCAUAGUUUACCGAUCAGACAGAUUGUAAAUUAGGGUUUAGCGUAAGCAGUGUGCGAUAUGGCGACGCCGAUUUCUGACUCCGGCACCGUCGUCUUCAUCGAUACAAACCUCGAUACUCACUUGGCUCUCACCGUCUCUGAUCACGAUACCGUCUCCGACCUCAAAAAGUUAAUCGUGUCUGAACAUGCUUCAUGCUUUCCCAAAAUCGGACAAAUACAGAUUCAUGGCAUUAAGGUUAAGCGUAAUGGUCACUUUUAUCACUUAUCUGAUUCAAUGGUUGUGCGAAGUGCUUUUAUUGGUGUCAACAAAAGCUGGUUUCUUAGUGUUGAUGUUUCUGCAUUGGAAGAUUCUAGACCGAAUGAAAAAUUGUUACCUCAUGGUUCGCUUCGUCAGGUGGAAUCUAUUGGCAUUGUGAAUAAUGCUUUAGUUGGUUCUGGUGGUGAUAAUAAUGGGAUUAUUUUACCUUGUAAUUCCCAGUUCCAAUUGUUGGAGAAUAAGAAAGAUAAGAGGGAAGGUGUUCGUGUUGUUAGCCCUUGUGUUUCUGAACAUACUGCUAAAGAUGGUGUCGCGAAUUUGGAGAACGGUGUCAAAUUAUUGGGUGAUGAUGAUACGGCAAUUCCAUUGCUUGGUUCAAAUUCCAAGACAGAUGACCGUAGACAUUUGAAUAAUGAAGUUCCAAGUUUACCUAUGGAAUGUGAAGUAGAUGGGCUUGAUAAAGGAAAUAAGGAUGAUGGCAACGUGGGUGUGGAAGAAUCUUUAAUGUCUGUACAGAGUGGGAAGAGAAAACGGCAGAGUAAGAGGAAAAGAGAAGACACUGCUGGAGGUGAUAACUCAAAAAAAGAAACCCCUUCUGAUCGUCUGCGUGUGAAAAACUUGGAGAUGGUUCCAAGUUUAAAUAUUGAAUGUGAAGUAGAUGGACCCGGUGGAGGAAAUAAGGAUGACCGUAAUGUGUGUGAAGAACCACCUUCAAUAUCUGUGCCAAGUGCAAAGAGAAGAAAGAAGAGUACAAAGAAAAAAGAAGCCACUGUGGUAGGGGAUAGAUCAAAAGAAGGAAUCCCUUCUGAUCACCCAUGUGUUUCAGAGCACACUGAAAAAGAAGCAGUGAAAAAUUUGGAGGUGGUUCAAACUUUACAUAUUGAAUGUGAAGUAGAUGGAUCCAGUGAAAGAAAUAAGGAUGAUCAUAAUGUGUGUGAAGAAGUACCUUUAAUAUCUGUGCCAAGUGCAAAGAGAAAAAGCAAGAGUAAAAAGAAUAAGAAAGACACUGUGGGAGGUGAUAACUCAAAAGAUAACGUUGCUGCUGUUGAUAAUCCUGUCGACUGUCCAUCUGAAAAGGCAUCCAGUUUCAACAAUUUUCCGGUACCUCAAUCAAGGAACAAACAGGAUGACAAAGAAGUCCCUUUUGACCUCCCACUUGUUUCACAUAACACUGAAAAAGAAGCUGUAAGAAAUUUGGAGAUGGUUCAAAAUUCACAUAUUGAAUGUGAGGUAGAUGAUGGAUCCAAUAAAGGCACUAAGGAUGACUCUAUUGUAUGUGAGGAAGGAACUUCUAAUCCCACACCAAGUGCAAAGAAAAAGAAGAGUAAGAGUAAAAAGAAGAAAGAAGACACUGUGGGAGGUGAUAUCUCAAAAGACAACAUUGUUUCUGUUGAUAAUCCUCUCGGCUGUCCAUCUGAAAGGGCAUCCAGUUUCAACAAUUUUCAGGUGUCUCAAUCAAAGAAUACAACAGAUGAAAAAGAAGAAAUCCUUUUUGAUCACGCAUGUGUUCCAGAGUACACUGAAAAAGCUGUCACAAAUUUGGAGAUGGUUCCAAAUUCACAUACUCAAUCUGAGGUAGAUGGAUCCGAUAAAGGCAUUAAGGGUGACUCUAUGGUAUGCGAGAAAGGAACUUCUAAAUCCGUACAAAGUGCAAAGAAGAAGCAUAAGAGUGUGAGGAAAAAAGAAGACACAGUCCAAGAUGACACAAAUGACGCCUCUGUUGCUGUACCAGUUCAGAAGAGGAUUGUUGUCCUAGCCGUCUCUGCAGAGAAUGCAGAUAAAGAAGUAACUAAAGUUUUAAAGGAGAACAAUGAAAGCAACGACAAUAACACUGUAAAUGACGUUAAUGCUGUGACAAUGAAGGAGGCCUCAGAACUCAAAUCUCCUUUAAAGAAGAAGCCUAAGAAAAGGAAGAGAUCUCCAACUGAUUCUAAAGAAACUUUGAAAGGAGAUACAACAUCUCAAAAGGAUGAAGCACAAAUGGCUGAUGGAGCUCACGAGGAAAGGAAAGAAUCAGAAGAUAUCAUCAUUAACAAAACGAAUCUUGACAAAAUGGAGAUCGGAGCAGUUGCAUACAAAGAAAGCAUACAGUCUACAACAAAAGAAACAGGAAAUAAUAAUGAACAAGGUGAUAUUGAAAUGGAAGUACAACCUUCUGAUGUGAAUGAGCCCAAGGAUCUGCUGGAGGAUAACGAGAAUGUUCUCGGUAGUCAUUGUCAUGAAAGUGAAGUUGGUCAAAUCGAGGGAGCUAGGGAAGGAGAAGUAUCACCACAAAAUGAUGACGUGAAUAGAAUGAAGGAACCUGUAAAACCGGCAAAAGAACAAAAGGGGGUAAAAAAAGGUAAGAAUAAAGGUGGAGGACAUACACUUAGAGUAGAUACUGGUCUUGUGGAUGCUUCUCAUAGUGAAGCUGUUGUUGCGAAGUCUCUUAAAGAAACCAUUUGUGAUCCUCUGGAAAAUGCUGCGACACAGGGAAGUCUUCUAAAUCAAACUGAAGAGGAAGGGAUGGUAUUGCUGCAGGAGGAAAUACCUGUUCUUUCUGUGACUGAUAAGGGAGGUGAUUUUAGUGCGGAUAAUGCUGAUUCCUUGGAGCAAACUAAAACAAAAUCUAAUGAUGAAAAUGUGGAUGAACUUGUAAGUAAGAGGCUGAAAAAGAAACCAAACAACAAACAAUCUUCUACCUCAAAGAGCACAUCAGAUAUGCUAACAAAUGGUCAUGCUUUUGAUAGUAAGAAAGAGCGUGAUGUACACAGGAUUGAUAAGGCACCAAAUGCACACAAGACUCGACAAGUUACAAAUUUUUCUAGUCCGUCUAACAGCGCCAUGUCCUCAGUUGUUGAAAAUCGAAAAUCUCGUGACAAUGCUUCUGGGAAAAGCAUGGAUUUGGAAAAACAAAGGAAACACAUUCCUAUUUCAAAUGCAAAGCUUGAAGGUUACAACAAAAUGGUUCAAAAUAAAGCAAGAAAAGCUUCUGGAAAUAAUGUCAUGGAAGUUGUGAGUAAAUCACAGCAGAAGAAGAGCUUGUUAGAGGGAGCAACAAUUUUCAAGGAUGAUAGUAGCAGUUCCUCUGAUGAUGAAGGUCAAGAGAAGGUUGAUAAUUCUGAUGCCAGCACUAGAACUCCAUCUGACAAUUCACACGCAAACUAUUUAGAUGGGUAUGACAGUCCAGGUGUCGAUUCACGACAAAAUGGUUCUUAUGAUGGGGAAAGAUUGGAAAAUGAUGAAAGAAGUCCCUUCAAAGCAGGCAUUUAUAGACGCCUAAAGCAAUAAGAGCUGAUAAGUAGAAGGGGAUCUUUAAGGAUUAUUUUCUGUCACUUUAUUGCAUAAAUUUAUUAUGCAAUAAGUGGUGGCGAGUUGGGACUCUUAUACUAAGCACCGAGCACUGAAAAAUAGGCAUAAUGAAGGUGUGCCCGAAUAGGGAAACAACCCAAAACUCCAUUGAAGUGUUAAGGUUCUGUACCUAAUCUCUUAGAUUGGGUGUUCUGCCUGAAGAAGAAAAAGUGACCAACAUAACAUAAUUUGUUAAUUACAGACUAACGUUUGUCAGGCACAACAAAAAUGUCAAUUGAUGAUGUUGUUAGAAGGUCAACAAGGUAUAAGCAAGCCAGAAUGACAGCCUCUCAAUUGGAUGAUACCGAAGUUCCAGAGAGCGAGGGCCUCUGAUCUAUAAUCACAAGUUUCAGCGUUGUGAUAUUUUUGCUUCUUUUUACCUUCAUCCCAAACAGUGCUGAUUUUCUUUUAAGCUUGUUUACAGUUCUUGCGGUGAUUUAUGUCAUGAGUCAAGUUUAUUAAUUAUACCAUCGUGGUAUAUUAUUUAUUACCAUAGAGAUAUAAAGAGUACAUCAGUCAAGUUUUUUGUAGAAAUUUUGAAGUCAAGAAACCACUGCUUACAAAUCAAUUAUGUUUGCAAUGAUUUGAACUGAA